rnacentral:rRNA from 1 species
ACGGGAGGCAGCAGUGGGGAAUAUUGCACAAUGGGGGAAACCCUGAUGCAGCGACGCCGCGUGAGUGAAGAAGUAUUUCGGUAUGUAAAGCUCUAUCAGCAGGGAAGAUAAUGACGGUACCUGACUAAGAAGCCCCGGCUAACUACGUGCCAGCAGCCGCGGUAAUACGUAGGGGGCAAGCGUUAUCCGGAUUUACUGGGUGUAAAGGGUGCGUAGGUGGCAAGGCAAGUCAGAUGUGAAAGCCCGGGGCUCAACCCCGGUAUUGCAUUUGAAACUGUCUAGCUAGAGUGCAGGAGAGGUAAGUGGAAUUCCUAGUGUAGCGGUGAAAUGCGUAGAUAUUAGGAGGAACACCAGUGGCGAAGGCGGCUUACUGGACUGUAACUGACACUGAGGCACGAAAGCGUGGGGAGCAAACAGGAUUAGAUACCCUGGUA